AGGCAGUACGAUCUAUCUAGUGACCUUGUAGACAUCCACAGAGAAGAUUAGCAUGGCCCCUGCGCAAGGAUGACACGCAAAAUCGUGAAGCGUUCCACAUUUUU